GCCAGAUUAGUUGUAGUGGAAACACACAUCUUUCGUAGUGAUGAGUCAUCGGUUCGAUUCCGAUAUCUGGCUC
rnacentral:tRNA from 1 species